rnacentral:misc_RNA from 1 species
GGGGACCAAGGAACAAAAAAUAGUGGCACGCUCAUCCACAAAAGCUGAGUGUCGAGCUAUUGGCAUAGCCACAACUAAAGUUACUUGGUUGCAGUCCUUACUUCAUGACAUUUCCUAUUUGCCGAAACAAAUUCCAGUUUUGUGGUGUGACAACAUUGGGCAACGUAUUUAUCUGCCAAUCCGGUCUUUCAUGCCCGCACAAAACACAUAGAGGUUGAUUAUCAUUUUGUCUGAGAUAGAAUUACUAAGAAAGAGCUUUAGGUUCA